UGCUGUUGGAAAAGGUAAAACUGAUGGAUUUAUAAGGUGAAAACCGUUGGGAGUGAUGAAAAGCUGUGUUUUUCUAGCUUAGGAAUAAACAUGUGGAGGAAAACUAAGCAAGCGUGCAGAUGGAGCAGAUAUUUGGACUAAUCCAGGUUCAGUGCUCUGUGGGUUUUGCUUGUGAUGGAAUUGGGGGGUUAGUGGUCCUGACAGCACUAAAUCCCUUUUAAUCUCCUCUUCCAUUUGUUAUGGUUUGCAUGGGCAGGAUGCAGCCGCUGUGGGACCCGUGAAGUGGAGCUUUAGGCCAGCGAAGCACUCGAGUCGUGGCUGUCUCAGGACAAGCAGUGUCAGCCCUGGAGAUACCCUGGGUGGUGCUGAGUGCUGGGGAGAUCCUGCAGACCUGCUGCAGAGACCAGACUGAUAAAGUCUCCAGGCCUCUUGGUGAGGUGGAUCGUGAUGGGACAGUGCCUUUUUGCAAAAGCAGGGUCAGACAGAGAGCAGGUAAAGGUCAGGACCUUGACCAACAGCUGUAUCCUGCACAC
rnacentral:lncRNA from 1 species